rnacentral:rRNA from 1 species
ACGGAAGGCAGCAGUAGGGAAUAUUGCACAAUGGGGGAAACCCUGACGCAGCAACGCCACGUGUGGGAAGAAGCAUUUCGGUGUGUAAACCACUGUCGUGAGGGAAUACUGCUUGGCCUCGGCCAAGUUGAAUGUACCUCGAAAGGAAGCACCGGCAAACUUCGUGCCAGCAGCCGCGGUAAUACGAGGGGUGCAAGCGUUGUUCGGAAUCACUGGGCGUAAAGGGAGCGCAGGCGGAGAUGCAAGCAGUCUGUACAAUACCGGGGCCCAACCCCGGACCUGCAGACUGGACUGUUUCUCUUGGAUAGUUCAGGGGCAAGCGGAAUUCCUGGUGUAGCGGUGGAAUGCGUAGAGAUCAGGAAGAACACCGAUGGCGAAGGCAGCUUGCUGGGGACUUAUCGACGCUCAUGCUCGAAAGUGCGGGUAGCAAACAGGAUUAGAUACCCUGGUA